CCCGAACGGGUCGCGCACGGACCUGUCGCGUCGCCACUCCUCCCUCCCCUUCCCUAGCUCGCUCGCUCUCCCGUCGCAGCGCCCCACUGCCGCCGGCGUGUUCCUCUCUCUUUCCCCAUUGGCGCCACCGCUGCCUUUCUCCCCACCACCUCGUUUCCUCUCGCUCCCCUCCCGCACCAUAUAUUUGGAGUCAAGGUUCCGUUUUUAUGCGCUGGCGAUGUGCAGCUGGGCAACAAACUGUUGGAGCUGCGUGCGCCGGCGACGAUGCGGGUGGGCGAGGAGGUACUAGAUCUGCGUGCACCGCGACAUGCUGCUGGGCUCGCUCGCCGGAGCACCGCGCCGUCGACCUUGCCUCGUCACGUCGCCCCACCAUCCACACGCAGCAGGAUCCGGAGGAGGCGACCAAUUUCCUGCCGUUGGUGCCCGCUAGAUCCGGUUGUCGCAGCCGGGAGAAGAACAUGCUGGCCGCCCGAACUCCUUCCCCACGUACUCCUCCAAGACGCCGCCCCGACACGCAACCAGGCCGGCGCACCGACGGGAAGAAGGACGCGACCUGCGACAGUUCAUGUUAAUGGACAGUAGCCGAGGGCAGUUCUGCGGUGGGAUUGACUGUUGCUUCUGCAGUUGGUCAAUCUUCCACUAAUCAAGAUCAUCUCCGGCCUUCCCCGCCACGCCUUGUCAGUUGCUUAAUUGCCAAUGCAUUUUCCUUUUAUUGUCAUAGUGUGUUACCAUUUCUUGUCAAUUUACUGUCAUAUUGUGUUACCAUUUCUUGUACUCC